rnacentral:rRNA from 1 species
UACGGGGGGGGCAAGCGUUGUUCGGAAUUACUGGGCGUAAAGGGCGCGUAGGCGGCCUUCUAAGUCGGACGUGAAAUCCCUCGGCUUAACCGAGGAACUGCGUCCGAUACUGAAAGGCUUGAAUCCGGGAGAGGGAUGUGGAAUUCCAGGUGUAGCGGUGAAAUGCGCAGAUAUCAGGAGGAACACCGGUGGCGAAGGCGGGUCUCUGGGCCGAUACUGACGCUGAGGAGCGAAAGCGUGGGGAGCAAACAGG